GUGCUCUCUUCAGCAGCUCAUAUACUAAAAUUAGAACAACACAGAGAAGACUAGCAUGGCCCCUGUGCAAGGAUAAGAUGCAAAUGCGUGAAACGUUCUGUAUUUUU
ensembl:snRNA U6 U6 spliceosomal RNA